CCGAAGAAUAUUGAAGUAUCAAGCAGAAAACUUAAAAUCAUUAUGGAAGGUUAGCGUGACUUGAGGCAAAUCACAGAGAGAAGAGAGCAGCCGUAGUGACUUCACCCAAGACUAUUUAAAGCAACAGUAUAAUUUUUGCUACAUGUUUGUAAUGUGAAUCAGGAGCUGAGGGUCUCUCGGAAAUAGCCUAGCUGCCCUCUCGAGGUAGGGGUAAAAUCUGCGUACACAUUACUGGGUCGUUGUUGUUUGUAAUGUGAAUCAGAAAACUUCCUUUCAGAUUUGAAAAUGUGGGGCUGCAGUAAAAUGACCUUGUGCUUGAGUGAACAUAUAGUAGGAUUACUAGCAGGCUGACACCAAAGGGAAGUUUCUAGCUAGAGAAGGUCCAUCUUCUCUCUAGACACGGACCAUCAUUCAGCAAGUCUAAGUCCAACCAAGCAGUCAAAUACCUCGUCAACCAAGCUAGGAGGCCGCACUUCUGCCAGCGCAUGAAAUUCUCAUACACGCUAGAGAGAAGGAAAAUUCCAGCGACCUUAGUAAUGGAGGAUGAUGGGGAUCCAGAUCAGGUGAGAAGAGACAUUUUAUAAAAGUGAACUUUCUCCAAAAAUUUCUUUCUCCCUCCCCAAUUUUUCUCAGUUUAACGAGAUAGCAAGACCCAGGAGGCUCGCAGCUACCACGGCCACAAACACUCUGCUCGUUCGUAAGCCACUUUAGAGAUGAGGGCGAGCCAGGAGCUUACGGAAAAAAUGGCUCAUACACGCUAGAGAGAAGGAAAAUUCCAGCGACCUUAGUAAUGGAGGAUGAUGGGGAUCCAGAUCAGGUGAGAAGAGACAUUUUAUAAAAGUGAACUUUCUCCAAAAAUUUCUUUCUCCCUCCCCAAUUUUUCUCAGUUUAACGAGAUAGCAAGACCCAGGAGGCUCGCAGCUACCACGGCCACAAACACUCUGCUCGUUCGUAAGCCACUUUAGAGAUGAGGGCGAGCCAGGAGCUUACUUCGAGUAUUUAUGACUCUGGUGGCAACACGUGACAAGCGAAUGACAUGAUUCUCGAGGAGUUACACGACGGCCAUGUGCAUCAAAUAGAUGCAGUCUUCAGUUGAUGAUUCAUGUCAUUCAUUUAGGCUUGGGUCUUUCAUUCGGUCCCUAUUGGGGCACCCUGUGGGCCACUGUUUGCCCCAGCCCCCAGCAAAGGCCCUAAUAGUUUGUAGGCAGUAGAGCUACUUCACAAUCAUGUUUUAAAGCAGCGACAACAAUUAUACCUUCAGUCUCAAACCAGUUGGGAUCAACUAUAUAAAUUUUCUAUAUCUAUUCCACUAUUUAUUUUUUUUUGGAUAAGGAUGUAAAAUUGUAAAUUUCAUUAAUCCACUAUAUUUGGAGAUGGUCCAUUGCAUUAUUCAAUAGUAGAUCUUUUAAAGUAACUAGUUUUAGUGUACGCGUGUUGCGCGUGUACUUCAUAUUUUGAAAUUCAUUCUAAAAGAUAGAAAUAGACUAACUUGCAAAAGAUAUUUUUUUCUCAUGAUCAAGAUGCAAAUUAUUUCAUUAAUAAAUACUAUAUAGGAACUGUUUCCAGCAUAUUAGAAAAUAAUAAAUUAAUUCAGCCAGCAUAGUAAGAUUAAUCUACAAUUCUUCCUUUAUCUAAUCUCAGAUUUUUCAUCUGGAUGCAUCUAGAUGUUGUUCUCUAUGGAAAACAAGAGUAUAUUCUAGUAAUGUUAUUUGUAAUUAUUAUGAAGGGCUAUGUUCGUAUCAUCUUGGACGGAGUUAGAAUAUCAAAUUCACGUUGAUCAAAAUUAAAAUUUAUUAUCAUCAAUUCUCACAUAUGUAGUGUCUUAAUUUUCUUGUGUGUUUAUAAUCAGUUCCCAUUAAGUAAAUUUUUCUAAAAGUCGGUCCAAUUUGAUUAAAAAUAUAUGUAAAUUGUUUAUAUUUUCUAAGUAUAUUUUUAUUACCAAAUUUACAAAAACACAACAACAUACCCAAUAAAAUUCCACUAGUGGGGCCUGGGGAGAGUAGAGUGUACACAAACCUUACCCCUACCCGAAGAGGGUAGAAAGGCUGUUUCCGGAAGACUCUCGGCUCAACGGGAGAGACAAUAAUAUUAGAAAAGAAACAAAAGAAAAGGCAUGUAACAACAAAAGAUGCCAGAAAGAAAAUAACAACAACGAAUAAGUGAAAGGACAAUAACACAAAACUAAACCAAAACAAGAAUGUGAACACAAAAUGGACCGCUAACAAACCUAAACAAAACUCUAUCAGACUACCUGGUACAAAAAGGGAAGAACUCUCGACUACCCCUAACUCGACUACCCCCUAGCCUACCACCCUAAUGCUUGACCUCCACAUGUUCCUAUCAAGAGCCAUAUCCUCGGAAAUCUGAAGCCGCCUCAUGUCCUGCCUGAUCACCUCGCCUCAAUACUUCUUAGGCCGCCUUCUGCCUCUUCUCGUACCUACCAAAGUCAAAAUCGCUCACACCUCCUAAUCGGUGCAACUAAGCUUCUUCUCCGCACGUGUCCGAACUAUCUAAGCCGCGCUUCUCCCAUCUUGUCGUCCACGGGAGCCAUGCCACCCUCUCCAGAAUAUUUUCAUUCCUAAUCUUAUCUAGCCUAGUGUGUCCACACAUCCAUCUCAACAUCCUCAUUUCUGUCACUUUCAUCUUCUGGAUAUAUGAAUUCUUGACAGGCCAACACUCCACUCUAUACAACAUGGCCGGUCAAACCACCGCUCUAUAGAACCUAUAUUUGAGUUUCGAUGGCACAUUCUUGUCACACAGGACUUCAGACGCUAACCUCCAUUUCAUCCACCCCACCCCAAUGCGUAACAUCGCCUCGAUCUCCCCAUCUCCCUGAAUAAUUGGCCCUAAGUACUUAAAACUCUCUCUCUUGAAGAUGACCUGUGAGUCAAGCCUCACUUUCACAUCCGCUUCCCCCCUCACGUCGCUGAACUUACGUUCCACAUAUUUCGUCUUGUCCUACUCAACUUGAAACAUUUAGACUCCAGGGCCUGCAUCUAUACCUCUAGUCUCCCAUUAAUGCCACCUCGCGUCUCAUCAAUCAAAACUAUAUUAUCAGCAAACAACAUACACCAUGCCACCUCUUCUUAGAUAUGGUGUAUAAGUGCGUCCAUCGCCAGAGCAAAUAAGAACGGGCUGAGCCAGAUCCAUGGUGUAACCCAAUAACCACCAGAAAAGGCUCUGAGUCACCUCCCACAGUCCUAACCCCAGUCAUAAAUCCAUCAUACAUAUCCUCUAUUGCCCUAAUGUAAGCCACCAGCACACCUUUCACCUCCAGACACCUCCAAAGGACGUCCCAAGGGACCUUGUCAUACGCUUUCUCUAAGUCAAUAAACACCAUAUGCAGAUCCCUCUUCCUAUCCAUGUAUAGUUCCACCAACCUCCUGAUAAGGUGGAUAGCCUCAGUAGUCAAACCACCCGCAUGAACCCAAACUGGUUUUCCGAUAUAGACACCGCCCUCCUUAUCCUCCCUUCCACCACUCUCUCCCAAACUUUCAUGAUAUGACUUAGUAACUUUAUACCCCUAUAGUUGUUACAAUUCUGGAUAUCCCUUUUAUUCUUGUACAACGGAACCAUUGUACUCCACCGCCACUCAUCAGGCAUCUUUUUUGUCCUGAAGAUAACAUUAAACAACCCAGUCAUCGACUCCAAGCCUGCUCUACCCGCAUAUCUCCAAAACUCUACUUGAAUCUCGUCUGGUCCGGUCGCUUUGCCCGACUCAUCUUUACACAUCGCACCCACGACCUCCUCAACCUUAAUGCGCCAAUAAUACCUAAAGUCGCGGUGACUCUCAGAGUGCCCCAAUUUCCGUAACACGAUGUUUUCAUCCCAUCUUCAUUCAAAAGUUUAUGAAAGUACGACUACUAUCUUUGCCUAAUCUUGGCAUCUUCUAUCAAUACUCGACCGUCCUCGUCAUUGAUGACCCUCACUUGAUCCAAGUGGCGACCCUUCUUCCCUCUCGCUUUGGCUAACCGAAAUAACUUCUUGUCCCUACCUUUGCCCCAAGUUCCUCAUAAAGCCCAAAAGCAACAGUCUUAGCCUCUGUGACCACUAAUUUCGCCUCCUUCCUAGCCUCCUUAUAUCUUUCUCUGUUCAUUCUCCUCUGUUCCUCGUCGGUGCUCCCUACUAACUUAACGUAAGCCGCUUUCUUGACUUCCAGUUUACCUUGAGCCACGUCAUUCCACCACUAGUCGCCUCGGUGCCCUCCAGAUUAACCUUUCGAAACUUCCAACACCUCUUUUGCUACCUCCCUUAUACAGUCUGCCGUCGCCAUCCACAUAGCGCUAGCGUCCCCACCACUCUUCCAAGCUCCCAUAUUCGUCAGUCGCCCCUCCAACUCCUGUGCAUUAUCCUAAGACAAAACUCCCCAACGGAUGCUCGACUGACCCCGUACAAACCUCUUUUUCCUCUUCAUCAAGAUACUAACGUCCAUUACCAGAAGCCUAUGUUGAGUUGCGACGUUCUGACUAGGGAUCACCUUGCAAUCCUUGCACAAACCCCUAUCACACCUCCUGAGGAAGAGAUAAUCAAUCUGAGUCUUAGCCAUUUUUCUUUUUUUGUUUUAAAUUUUUAAUGAUUUUUUUAUAUUUAUUUUUUUCUUUCAUAAAUAUAUAUAAACGAUUUUCGGCAAAUUUUAACCUUAUUUUUUUUAGUAUUAUAUUUUUAUGUAUAAAAUGGCAAAUGCUUUAAAUAUUACUUAGUAAGAUAAUUUUUACUCUUAAGAUUAUACA
rnacentral:lncRNA from 1 species